CCUACGGGUGGCUGCAGUGGGGAAUAUUGGACAAUGGGGGGAACCCUGAUCCAGCCAUGCCGCGUGUGUGAAGAAGGCCCUCGGGUUGUAAAGCACUUUCAGUGAGGAAGAACGCCUGGUGGUUAAUACCCAUCAGGAAAGACAUCACUCACAGAAGAAGCACCGGCUAACUCCGUGCCAGCAACCGCGGUAAUACGGAGGGUGCGAGCGUUAAUCGGAAUUACUGGGCGUAAAGCGCGCGUAGGUGGCUUGAUAAGCCGGUUGUGAAAGCCCCGGGCUCAACCUGGGAACGGCAUCCGGAACUGUCAAGCUAGAGUGCAGGAGAGGAAGGUAGAAUUCCCGGUGUAGCGGUGAAAUGCGUAGAGAUCGGGAGGAAUACCAGUGGCGAAGGCGGCCUUCUGGACUGACACUGACACUGAGGUGCGAAAGCGUGGGUAGCAAACAGGAUUAGAUACCCGUGUAGUC
rnacentral:rRNA from 1 species